AGGGCUAAGAUGCAUGAAGGUCCCCCAAACUUUGCAAAUCUGAGAAAAAGGACAGGACAAACCACCAUGAGUCGCCAGAUCCGAGGGCACAGAGGUCAUCUAGCGUUCCCAAUCUUGCAAUCGCAGCCGAUCUCACCUCAGGGAAAAAAAUUGCAUCUUGGUGGUCUGCACAUAUCUCAGCACGGAACAAAAGAAAAGAUGUCUUCUCGGAGAUCACAAAUCCGAACAAACAGCAGGACACGAGAAUCCAAUGUAUAGCCGAGAGAAGGGAACGCUCUAAGCCCCGGUCCAGUGGUCCCCAAAAAGGGCAAAAGGAACUCCAACGUCUCGGCCUCUGCAAACUCAGGAAGGACAAGGAGUUGGACCCUGGAUGUACUCUCAUUCGUCCAUCCGGCAUCUGCAUGUCCUCAUUCACAAGUUCAAAGCUCUUCAACUUUUUCGCACAAAUUGCUCUAACAUUCCAGCUCUCAAACAUCUCAGAUCCCUAACUCACUCUUCUAGCAUCGACACCCCAAAGUGAGUGGCAUUUUUCUCUCAAUGGAAGACGAUAGUUCAAAUGCGUCAAUGGUUCUGGAAAUGCGAUUACACGUUUGCGUACAUUCAGUCUACCAACAGCAUUUCUAUGCACACAACUCAGACACAUGGAUAUGUUCCAAUCUCUGCGACAAACACUACUGCGAGGCCACUAUCAUAUGCGAAUGUCUUCAUACAUAUCAAUUCCCUCUCUCACCCUUUUCAUGUUUCAUUCAAUAUUAUGUUUUUUUAUCUGAUUUCAUGUGUUUUCUUGACGCUCUUCCAUUCUUUGACUUAGGUAAUGUGUUGUUAUGUUUUCAUGGUCUGGGUCUUUACAUUUGGGUUCGAUUCUUUGCUGAAUGUUGUGAUGGGAUUUGGUGAUUUUCAAUAUUCUUUGACUCUUUUUAAUGCAAAAUCAAAUUAGCCAUCGAAUUUAUAGCAUACAAUCAGUUUCUUUUUAGUUGGGUUCGAAUGAUGUUGAUUGCGCUGUUAUAAAGCUCCUUUUUAUAGUUAGGUUGAAAAUCAUAUCAAUAGAUUCUUUACUUAGUUGCUCCAAUCUGUAACAUAUGAGAUUUUUUUGUUUGAUGUUUUAAUCAAAAUUUGAUCAUUUUUAGUGAAAUUAUAAUGGAAUCACAAAUCAAGUAUAAUGGAAUCACAAAUCAAAUUUGUAUCAUUCUAAAUUAUUCGUUUAGUCACCAAAUGAAAAUAUGGUUGUUGAGUCCAAUUUUGUAUUUUCAUCGACUGAAAUAUUUUCCUUUGAUAGCACUUUGUGCACUGGGUACGACCUUUAUUAUAGCACUUUGUUUUGAUUUGUGAUCGAAUAUCUGAUUUUUGUUACAAUUGUUAUUUUCAUUGCAGGAAAAUGUGGCGGAGACAAUAAUUCCCAAAUCCUCAAGUUUUAUGAAUGCAUUCCAAUUGAUAGCCAUGUCAAAUGAUCUCGAUUUGUCAGGAUGAGAAAUAGAAGAUAAGAAGAAUUGGACCCAAGCAUACCAUUACUGAAACCAUGAAGAAAAUAGAAGCGGCUACAACGGAUGCGAGUCUUUCUGUAGCAAGAACAAACAACUUCAGGAUGUAAAUGCAUGCAAAAUUUCCAAUGGAAACGUAAAUCACCAUAUCCAGGUGGAUUACCAAAAGGAGCUCAUCAAGUAUUCUGCAAGCACGAUCGACCUUGAUCAUUUGGAUAUUUAAAGGAUCCAUUGAUAAAAGGAAGACGACGAAUUGUGAACCUGUGUGCAAAUUUUGCCAAUUUUGCAAACAAGCAGAAAUUUUGGCACAGUGAUCAAACAGGCUUUCAUGUUGUGUAUUUUGAUUAAUAGCUGUGAAACCCACUGUGUCGCACCAUAGACGGUCUCACCUCCGUCCAAUCUUCCUCUCGCCGCCAUUUCCCUUCUCUUGCCUCUGUUGUCUUACUCUUUUCUGUCUUUGGAAUCCUAUCGUCAUCUUCCUCACAUGCAAGGCUCUGGCCCUCUCAAUUGAAACCAAAAUGUGUUUCAGUUCUGAGGAAGAGCAAGAAAAAGGAAGAACCAGUAUUAGAAGAUCUUCCCAAAGAGUACAAUGAUGAUUCUAAGUUUUGAAGGAUUUGAUAAACCAUUGAUAACAAUGUGCGGCGGCACCAACAGUUUUGGACAAGGAACAAGAGGAAAUGGUGGUGCAUGCAUUUGUUCCUCAGAAAGAACCGCAUGUGCACUCUUUUGGAAAAAGAGACCACUGCAUCUCCGUUGCUUGCAAGAAACAUUUAUGGACCAAACCUUAAGGGGAUGAUUACAAAUCAAGGUGUGGAAUUCCAAGUUGCAUAGGUGUUUGUUUACACUUCUUGGACACAUUGAUUACAUCCGAACUGUUCAAUUCCAUCAUGAGUACCCUUGGAUUGUCAGUGCAAGUGAUGACCAGACAAUCAGAAUAUGGAAUUGGCAGUCCCGAACUUGUAUUUCUGUGCUCACUGGACACAACCAUUACGUCAUGUGUGCCUUAUUCCAUCCAAAGGAGGAUCUUGUUGACUCAGCAUCGUUGGAUCAAACUGUUCGUGUUUGGGAUAUUGGUGCCCUCAGGAAAAAGACGGUUGCCCCAGCAGAUGACAUUCUACGCUUGAGUCAGAUGAAUGCAGAUUUCUUUGGUGGAGUUGAUGCUGUUGUGAAGUAUGUUUUGGAAGGUCAUGAUCGGGGUGUGAAUUGGGCAUCAUUUCAUCCUACACUCCCUCUAAUCGUCUCUGGAGCAGACGAUCGACAAGUGAAACUUUGGCGGAUGAAUGAUACAAAGGCUUGGGAAGUGGACACUCUAAGGGGGCACAUGAACAAUGUAUCCUGUGUUCUAUUCCAUUCAAGGCAGGAUAUUAUUGUGUCCAAUUCAGAGGAUAGAAGUAUCCGAGUCUGGGAUGCAACAAAACGGACUGGUCUUCAGACAUUUCGCAGGGAGCAUGAUAGAUUCUGGAUUCUUUCAGCACAUCCUGAAAUGAACCUCUUGGCUGCUGGCCAUGAUAGUGGCAUGAUUGUCUUUAAAUUGGAGAGGGAGCGUCCUGCCUUUUCUGUUAGCGGUGAUUCAAUGUACUAUGUUAAAGAUCGUGGUUCUUCCAACUUGAAUCAAGGGGCAAAGACACUAUCUUACAGCCCCACAGAAAAUGCUGCUUUGAUAUGUUCAGAUAUGGAAGGGGGGUCUUAUGAACUAUACGUUAUACCCAAAGAUAGCUUUGGUCGGGGUGAUACUGCGCAGGAGGCAAAAAGAGGAAUUGGAGGCCCUACCUAUUGUUGCUGAUGCAAUAUUUUAUGCUGGAACUGGAAACUUGCUGUGCAGGGCAGAGGACAGAGUCAUUAUUUUUGACCUGCAGCAGAGAAUUAUUGUUGGGGAGCUAGGGAUGACAAUGGCGUCUUCAUAUAUACAACCUUGAACCACAGCAAAUACUGCCUUCCUAAUGGGGAUAGUAGAAUCAUCAGGACCCUCGACGCUCCUGUAUAUAUAACAAAAGUGUAUGGAAACACCAUACAUUGCUUGGGUCGAGAUGGGAAGAACUGUGCCAUUGUUGUUGAUGCAACAGAAUAUGUUUUCAAGUUAUCCUUUACUGAAGAAGAGGUAUGACCAGGUUAUGAGCAUGAUAAGGAGUUCUGAGCCCUGUGGCCAGGCCAUGAUUGCAUAUCUACAGCAGAAAGGUUUCCCUGAGGUUGCCCUUCAUUUGUGAAGGAUGAGAGGACUCGCUUCAACUUGGCACUAGGAAGCGGGAACAUCCAGAUUGCUGUUGCUUCUGCCAAGGAAAUUGAUGAGAAAGAUCACUGGUAUCGAUUGGGAGUGGAGGCCCUUCGUCAGGGUAAUGCAGGCAUUGUAGAAUAUGCAUAUCAGAGGACAAAGAAUUUUGAGAGGCUAUCAUUCUUAUAUCUUGUGACUGGAAACUUGGAUAAAUUGUCCAAAAUGUUGAAAAUUGCUGAAGUCAAGAAUGAUGUGAUGGGCCAGUUCCACAAUGCUUUGUAUUUGGGUGACAUCAGAGAGCGUGUUAAGAUCUUGGAGAAUGCAGGUCAUUUACCUCUUGCUUAUAGCACAGCUGUAAUUCAUGGGCUCCAUGAUAUUGCCGAACGUUUGGCGGCUGAACUGGGAGAUAAUGUUCCUGUUUUACCCAAGGUGAAAUCUCCGUCCCUUUUGUUACCACCAACGCCAAUCAUCUGCGGAGGAGAUUGGCCUUUGUUGAGGGUCAUGCGAGGAAUAUUAUGAAGACGCUGCAGAUGCUGACUGGGGAGAGGAGUUGGAUCUUGUUGACGUGGACAAUAUUCCAAAUGGAGACAUCAGUGCAGUGCUGGAUGAUGAGGAAGCACACGAGGAAAAUGAGGAGGGAGGAUGGGAUCUUGAAGAUCUUGAGGAUAUGAUUUCAGAAACCCAUUUGUGGUUUGUGGGGCAACAUAUGUGCCUAUUUACCGUGGACAGAAGGAUGUGUCAUGCCCAUACUGCAGUUCUCGGUUUGUUCCGGACCAGGAAGGGAAGCUCUGUACUGUUUGUGAUCUUUCAGUGGUUGGAUCAGAUGCAUCUGGUUUGCUCUGUUCUCCUACCCAGAUAAGAUGAUCUCCUGCUGCUCAAGUGGGAGCAAUUUUUCCAACCUUCAAGUCCGACAACGGUUAUGUUAGUUUUCUCAUCUCCUUGAGCAGGGUUUUAUGUUAAAGAGCGCAAUUUGAUUAGGUUGUGUGCUUCUCUUGUAUUUCUAUUUCAAAUUUUAUUUCAAGGUACGUGAUCAUGAUUUCGCUGUAAUGAACAGGUGGAGCAUUUUGGUCUA